GUGGUAAAGAAAAAUGGGGUGUCGUGAGAGCCUGAAUCUCUUAUUGUCAUACAGGACCAAGCAAGAAACACAGUGCAGAGAGGCAAGGAGGUAAAAUAAAGGGAGUAAAGCAAAAGGAACAGGGACCGGUUUCCGUGAACAUAACAGCCGAGAAAACAUCUGACACCUUACAGACAUGUCAGGAAGCAAGGAAAGGUUAUUUUUUCACUCAUUGUUUACAUUUGGGUGAUUAACUUAGUCUUGAAAAAAAAAACACGUCAUUUUAAUGACAUUGUGAUAAAUAAA